rnacentral:ncRNA from 1 species
UGGAAAUUUGAUUCUAGUUUAUGGAAAUAGUUAUUUGAUAAUUUAUAACAUGUAAAUUUUUGUUUGAUUUAUUAAAUGUUUAAAUAAUAUUUAAUGUUUAUUUUAUUCGCAGUUUUUACUUUUAUAUAUUUAUUUAUUUAAGAUAUAGUUAAUUAUUUAAUAGCUAGCAAAAGUUGUGCCAGCAGCUGCGGUUAUACUUCUAGCUAAUAUUAUUUAUAUUUAAUAUUUAUUUUAAAUUGUUAUUUAUUGACACUAUAAUAUAUAUUUUUAGGUGAAAUUUGAAUUUUUAUUAAUGUGUUUGGUUAAGUUUUUAAUUUUAAUAAGAAAUUUUGUUUAAUGAGACUAGGAUUAGAUACCCUAUUAUUAUAAAAUGUAAAAGUUUAUUUUCAGUAUUAUAAGUUAUGAUCUUUAAAUUGAAAGAAUUUGACGGUAAUUUAAUCAUUUUAGAGGAACCUGUUCUUUAAUUGAUAAUCCACGAUAAAUUUUACCUUUAUUUUUUUAAUUAAUUGCUUGUAUAUCUCUGUUUGAUCGAAUGUUUUAUAAGGAUAUUUUCUUUUAUUUUUAUUGAAUUUUAUGUCAGGUCAAGGUGCAGCUAUAUAAAGGGUUGAAAUGGGUUACUUUUACUUUUAGUUUAUGGAUUAAUUUAUUAUUUUAUUUUAUGAAAUUGGAUUUAAUUGUAAUUGUUAAUAUAUAUUAAUUAUGAUAUAUGUUCUUGGUUAAGUACAUAUCGCCCGUCACUCUCAUUAAAUAAUGAGAUAAGUCGUAACAAAGUAGUUUUAUCGGAAGAUGAGGCUGGAAUUAU